rnacentral:rRNA from 1 species
AACGGUCAUACAAUGCUGAAUAUACCGGUUCUCGUUAGAUCACCGAAGUCAAGCAUCAUUGGGCGCGGUCAGUACAUGGGUGGGUGACCACCUGGGAACACCACGUGCCGUU